AUACGUAGGUGACAAGCGUUAUCCGGAUUUACUGGGCGUAAAGGGCGUGUAGGCGGUCUUGCAAGUCAGAAGUGAAAUUCCUGAGCUCAACUCGGGCGCUGCUUCUGAAACUGCAGGACUUGAGUGCUGGAGGGGAUAGCGGAAUUCCUAGUGGAGCGGUAAAAUGCGCAGAUAUUAGGAAGAACACCGGUGGCGAAGGCGGCUAUCUUGACAGGAACUGACGCUGGGGGUCGAAAGCGGGGGGAGCAAACAGGAUUAAAUUCCCUGGUAGUCCCCGCCGUAAACGAUUAAUACUAGGUGUAGGGGGUAUCGACUCCCUCUGUGCCGCAGUUAACACAAUAAGUAUUCCGCCUGGGGAGUACGGCCGCAAGGUUGAAACUCAAAGGAAUUGACGGGG
rnacentral:rRNA from 1 species